rnacentral:lncRNA from 1 species
UCGACUUCAAAUUGAAAUUCGACGAGCUAUGGGGAUAUUCGAGGACAAGGAAUGAUAGAUUUGGGAUGAGGGAGGCCUGGUGGUCCUUUGGUGUUAAUUUGGGGUCAUUGUGUGGUGGCGCCGUCACCAGAAAAAAUUGGGGUUUUAAGGAGGCUGGCUAGGGUUUGGAGUUUCUGAUCUAAAAUUCGAGGAAUUCUAGCCGAAUUUGAGGUGUAAGGAGUGGAUAUAUGGGAAGAGGGGGCCGAGGGGAGCCUGUGGUGUAAAUAUGAGCAUCAUUGGUCGUCGGCUACCGCCAUGGCGAUUUCUGGCAAGCGGCGGACAACGGUACAAGGCGGAGUUUUCUAGGGUUCUCUGAGGAUUGUUGUGAAAGACGUUUUNNNNNNNNNNNNNNNNNNNNNNNNNNNNNNNNNNNNNNNNNNNNNNNNNNNNNNNNNNNNNNNNNNNNNNNNNNNNNNNNNNNNNNNNNNNNNNNNNNNNNNNNNNNNNNNNNNNNNNNNNNNNNNNNNNNNNNNNNNNNNNNNNNNNNNNNNNNNNNNNNNNNNNNNNNNNNNNNNNNNNNNNNNNNNNNNNNNNNNNNNNNNNNNNNNNNNNNNNNNNNNNNNNNNNNNNNNNNNNNNNNNNNNNNNNNNNNNNNNNNNNNNNNNNNNNNNNNNNNNNNNNNNNNNNNNNNNNNNNNNNNNNNNNNNNNNNNNNNNNNNNNNNNNNNNNNNNNNNNNNNNNNNNNNNNNNNNNNNNNNNNNNNNNNNNNNNNNNNNNNNNNNNNNNNNNNNNNNNNNNNNNNNNNNNNNNNNNNNNNNNNNNNNNNNNNNNNNNNNNNNNNNNNNNNNNNNNNNNNNNNNNNNNNNNNNNNNNNNNNNNNNNNNNNNNGGGGGGGGGGGGGGUUGGGGUGUUAGGACAUUUAUAUAUUAAACAAACUCUCAGUUCCAGACCAUUGGAUCAGUCAGAUCCAAUGGUCAAGAUCCAAUUUAGCCAAAAGGGGUUCGUUUGGUUAUUUAGGGUGCUGGAUCGGGUUUUGACGAGUUUGGGCCGGGCUUUGGAGGGUUUGGACCGGGUACGGAAGGUUUUGACGGGUAUUUUGGCCCUAAAAUUUUCUCUUAUUUUCUUCUUUCUUUUUCUUUAUUUCCUUUUUAGAUUUUUGUUAAUUCUAAAUUAAAAUAAAACCAGAAUUAAUUUUAAAAACUAAAUUAAUGAACUAGUUGCUUUUCAUAUAAUUACACAAAUUAAUUAAGUCCUAAAUAAAAAGAAAACUAUAACAAAUUGAAAAAUUAAAGAGUUAAAAUGCAAAAAAAAAACUAUUUUUUGUUAUUUUCUUUUAUUUUUGUAACAUUAAUUAACUAAUUAUCCUAAUAUAUAAAAUUGCAGCCUAAAUGCAAAUGAAGCAUAUUUUUAUAUUUUUUAUGAAUUAAAUAAAUUAAACAUCCACACAAAAAUGCAAACAGACGAAAAUUUUGCAAUAAUUCCUAAAAAGCAAAUAAUUAAAAGAAAAAUCCUAAUUUUGGGAAUUCUGUUGGAGCAAUUCAUGCGAGGCAAAAAUCACGUGCUCACAGCUACCCCUCUUUGCUCGAAGACACGAAGGAUUUUCGAGCAAAGAUAAAAUGAGUAAUAUCGAGGGAUUUUUGCCUGCUUGACACUCCAUGAGAAACAUUUUUUGAAAGAGUCUGUUCGAACCUUGCUUUAAAAGUUGCCUACAUAUCUGUGGCCAUAAAGGAAUCACGUUAGUGUAGUUCUGGAGGCUUUGGUAGUUGGGACUACCAGGAAGCUAUGAUUUCACUGUUGUUGUUGCUGCUACUGCUUGCUGACCUCCUUAUUAUACCAAAAGAAAAUCAAAAGCUUAGCUAGCUAGGCCUAUCAACUACGAGUUACAAGAUUCCUAUCUAUAAAUCUCUUGAAGCUUCAUCUUAAGUCUUAGUUGGUUUUUGCUGUGGACUCUGAUCUAAAUCUUGCUGCUCGUCAGCUGCAAGUGCUGGUUCUAUCUUCAGCUUUCGGAUCAAAGCAGGACACACGAAGCUUAUGACUUUAAUCGCAUUCAUGAGCAGUCCGCAUCUCUGUUCGCUUCAGCAUUUUAAAUUCACUUCUUGUUUUCGUUUUCUUCUUUUCUUUAUUCUAGACAGAGGCUCAUUCUUUUAGCCACCUUGGAUCUUGUGCUUUGAGGUCAAACCUGCUCAGACGCCAAACAAACAAACAAACAAAAUUUUUCUACCCCAGUUUUCGCUAGGAAAAUUUCAUGAGUUAUUUGUGACAAAAGUCUUAACUUAUUCUGUUCUUAUUUUCUUUUUUUGUUGAAUAAAAUAAGAACCAUGUCUAUGUAGAAGGGAAAAGACCAGGGAAUAGAGCCCUAUAUCUAAAAUGUAAACUCAAGGAUUGGAACGGUAAUGUUCGCGAAAAGGCGACUAGGGAAUGGAGGCCCUAAAUCUAAAAUCUCAACUCAGGGAUUGGAGUCCUAAUAUUGGUAAAAAGGUAACAAGGGAAUGGAGGCCCUACGUCUAAAAACUCAACUCAGGUAUUGGAGAAGUAAUGUUGGUAAAAAGGCGACUAGGGAAUGGAGGCCCUAUGUCUAAAAGCUUAACUCAGGAAUUGGAGCCCCAAUAUUGGUAAAAGGCGACUAGGGAAUGAAGGCUGUAUAUCUAAAACUAAACUCAGGAAUUAGAGCCCUAAUGUCGGUAAAAAGUCGACUAGGGAAUGGAGACCCUAUGUUUAAAAACUCAACUCAGGGAUUGGAGCCCUAAUGUUGGUAAAAGGUGACUAGGGAAUGGAGUAGCUAUGUCUAAAACUAAACUCAAGGAUUGGAGCCCUAAUAUUGGUGAAAUGGCGACUAGGGAAUGGAGGCCCUAUGUCUAAUACCUCAACUCAAGGAUUGGAGCCCUAAUGUUGGUGAAAAGGCGACUAGGGAAUGGAGUCCUUAUGUCUAAAGUCUCAACUCAGGGAUUGGAUCCCUAAUGUAGGUAAUAGAGACUACGGAAUGGAGGCCCUAUGUCUAAAAACUCAACUCAGGGAUUGAAGCCCGAAUGUUCGAAAAAAGGUGACUAGGGAAUGGAGGCCCUUUGUCUAAAGACUCAACUCAAGGAUUGGAUCCCUUAUGUUGGUAAGAAAUGUAAAAGAUUGAGGUACAGAAUCCUAAGCUAUCAUUUUUGUUUUGGAGUUUUCUUUUUCUUUCUCUCUUUUUUUCAUUUUCAUUUUAUUUCAAUAAAAUGCAGGAAAAAAAGUUCGAUGAAAAAUUUCCCUUUUGGGUUGGUUGUUGCUGCGAAGUUUUUUUAACUUUUGCACAGCUUUUCCUUUUGGUUGCACCUGAUUUUGCACGGUUGCUUUAGGGCUGCACAUGUUUCAGUUUUUCAAACAAAGAACAAUUGUUAGUUUGAAACGGUGGUUGGUUUUGCGGCUUUGAUUAUCUCGAUCACUCGAUCCCGGCCUGAACCUUUGUUGAGACGCUCUGCUGCUUGCUGGUUUUCUAAAGAUUGAUCUCCCUUUCAAACCGAGGGAUUCAAUUUUGUAAGAUUUCACAACGGCUCGCCCGCGUGGGGCUUUGACCCUUUCACUUUAUUAUGCCUUUACGGUUUUUGCCUAUGGCUUUCUUUUUCCUUUCAGUAGUUUUGAUUUCAAAGUAUCAGCUAGCAUAGCCAGUCAGGAUCGACUUGAUGCACCUGCUGAGGCUAGAUAUUUUCAUUGGCUUGUCUUUUAUUAAGAAGAACCCUAUAAAACCAAUCUUGCCACCUUUUUUUGUAUUAGUUUCGGCAAUAGAGUUAGACCAAAAGGGACUCAGGGAAAAGUGAACAAAAGGAAAGAAAAUGAAUUUAAAGAGAAGUGUCCCUUUCGGGAAUGAAGGAAGAACUUACAUGGGGUGCAUGCAGACUUCAAUAGACGUGAUAUGCUUCUUGGACUAGAUGCCCGACCCCCACAACUUUCCCAACUUCUCAUAAACUCAUUGUGAGCCAUUUUUCCAAAACGAGAAACCUUUCCAGGACUUCAAUGGUGGUGAGGGGUGUCUUCUUUUCAAUCGACGCUGCCUUUUGUGGGUUUUCGCCAGUCGACCUCUCUUAUUUUUUUCCUCACCGUCGCCUGAUAGUGCUCUUUACGAGUUUUGACUAACCAAUAUCUCUCAUUUUAAAUUUCUCUGCUCACUGUCACCUUAUGGUGCCCGUAAGUUUUUACCUAUAUAACUCUCUCAUUUUAUUUCUCUCAUAUUGAUUGUAUCAGAUCCAAGAAACUAUGUUCUCUAAUUCCGACUCCUUUUUCCGAUUGAUCAGAAGGAUUUUAACAAGGUUUGGGUAAAAGAGAAUUGGAUCGCAUUACAACUAUGGAACCGUUCAGGCAGGAUCAUCACCUAACCAUUAUAAUAUCUGCCCCAGUUUCUUUUUAGGGAAAAUUGGAUUUUUAUUUUGUUGUAACUUAACCCUAGAGAGAGACUACCUGCGUAUUCUUUUGGAAUCAAGUCGAACGUAGUUCGAGAAAAACAUUUUGGUUUUUUUCUUUUAUUUUUCGGUUUUGAUUUGUUUUUAUUUUUCUUUCUUUUGUUUUGAUGCUUUUUCUACAUCAUUUUUUUCAACAACGCUUUCGGGUUCGAAAGAGGGUAGUCAAAGAAGAGUAACCGGCUUGAAGGGUUUGCUAAAGGUUGACAGUGUAUGGGUAGCAGGAAUGAAAUCCUUCGUCAUCCCAAUCAGAUAAUGUCAUUGUUGCAGAAAGCCUAAUCUUAGUAACUUUUUAUUGCGCCCGCAUUCACAGCUGCUUCAGGAUCAAUUCCUUCGACAUCUCCCAAGUAUAAUGCUCCUCUUGUCAAUAUUUUUUGAUGAUGUACGGUCCUUUCCAAUUGGGAGCGAAUUUCCUUUCGCUUCUUGAUGAUGGGGAAGAAUGCACCUUAACACGAGUUACCCUACAUCGAAAUUCCUGGGCCGCACUUUCUUGUUAUAAGAACCGGCCAUUCUUUGUUGGUAUAACUGGCCGUGGUAGAACACAUCCAUUCGCUUUUCAUCAAUCAGGUUCAACUGUUCCAUACGGGUCUUGACCCAUUCACUGUCUUCAAUUUCAGCUUCAACAAUGAUCCGGAGGGAAGGGAUUUCAACUUUCACGGGUAUUACGACUUCCGUGCCAUAGACCAAGAGGUAUGUGGUUGCUCCUACCUAUGUCUGCACUGUAAUGUGAUAUCCCAGUAAUGCAAAAGGCAUUUUUUCAUGCCACUUCCUGGAGCUCUGAAUAAUCUUUCUCAAAAUCUUUUUGAUGUUCUUGUUUGCUGCUUCGACGACACUAUUGGCUUUAGGACGAUAAGGAGUAGAAUUCCUAUGCAUUAUUUUGAAUUGUUUGUAUAUCUCCUCCAUCAAAUGACUAUUCAGGUUUGCAGCAUUAUCUGUGAUGAUAGUUGCGGGAAUACCAAAUCGACAGAUAAGAUUGGAGUGUACGAAAUCUACCACAACUUUCAUGGUGAAAAAUUUGAGAGUGAUAGCUUCAACUCAUUUCGUGAAAUAGUCAAUGGCAACAAGUAUGAAUCUGUGCCCAUUUGAGGCUUUCGGCUCGAUUGUCCCAAUGACUUCCAUCCCCCAAGCAACAAAUGACUAGAUGCUGAUAUGGGAUGUAGUUCUGUAGGCGGUUCAUGAAUUAGAUCACCAUGUACUUGACACUGAUGGCACUUCCAGACAAAGCAGACACAGUCUUUUUCCAUGGUUAUCCAGUAAUAGCCCGCUCGAAGGAUUUUCUUUGCUAAAAUAUAACUAUUUAUAUGGGGUCUGCAUAUUCCCGCGUGUACUUCAUGCAUGAUUCUUCCAGCCUCUUUUACGUCAACAAAUCUUAACAAGUUGAGGUCUGGAGUUCUUUUGUACAAGACAUCACCGCUAAAAAAGAAACCGCUCACGUGCCGUCUAAUGGUUCUCCUUUGGUCCCCAUAGCUUGCUCGGGGUAUUCUUGCGUUUUCAAAAAUCUUUUUAUGUCAUGGUACCAUGGCUGGGUAUUUGGUUCUGCUUCAACUGUAUUGCAAUAUUUAAGAUUUUCUUGAAUUUGGAUUUCCGAAGGAUUUAUGUGAGCAAUGCCUAAAUACGGAAGCAUUGAGGCCAAAGUAGCAGUGCAUUGGCCAAUUCGUUGUGAAAAUGAGGGAUGUACCUAGACUCUAUUCACUUGAAUCGCUUGCUAAGGUCUUUCAUAUGGUGUCUGCAAGGGAUGAGUUUGAAUCUCGGGUUUCCUAUUCUCUUCGAGCUUGUUGGAUAAUCAGAUCUGAGUCUCCCAUGAUCAACAACUCUUCGACGUCCUGGUCGAUUAUCCUUUUUAUACCCAUGAUACAGAUUCAUACUCGUCAGUGUUGUUCGUGCAUGAAAACCAAAGCUGAGUCGUGGCUGGGUAAUACCAACUAGUUGGUGAGAUCAAAAUUGCCCCAAUUUCCUUACCUUUUGCGUUUAUUGCUCCAUCAAAGAACAUCUUCCAAGCUGUAGUAUCCUUGGAUAUUGCCAAAACUGAGUUUACCUUUUUCAUCUAGGAAGUAAAUGUUUAGAGGUUGAUAUUCAUGAUCAACCCGGUUUUCAGCCAAAUGAUCCGCCAACUCCUGAGCUUUCAUUGUCGUGCGAGUGACAUAGACUAUAUCAAAUUCAGUGAGCAAGAUCUUCCAUUUUGCUAAUCUCCUUGUGGGCAUUGGUUUCUAGAAUAUAUUUUUCAAAGGAUCUAACCAGGUUAUGAGGUAAGCGGUGUAGGCUUGCAGAUAAUGUCUCAACUUCUGAGCAACCCAAGUUAAAGCACAACAGGUUCUUUCCAACAAAAAAUACUUAGCUUCAUAACUGGUAAACUUCUUGCUCAAAUAGUCCAUUGCCUGCUCUUUCUUUCUGAUCACAUCAUGUUUCCUAAGGACACAGCCAAAAGAGUUUUCCAAGACUGUCAGGUAUAAGAACAGAGGCCUCCCGGGCUUAGGUGGGACCAAGACUGUUGGGUUAGACAGAUACUUCUUGAUUUUAUCAAAAACUUCUUGACAUUCAUCCGUCCACUUGAUUGCCAUAUCUUUCUUCAAUAAUUUGAAUAUGGGUUCACACGUGGAUGUCAAUUGAGCAAUGAACCGACUGAUAUAGUUCAAUCUGCCCAAAAAACUCAUCACAUCUUUCUUGGCUCUCGAAGGAGGCAAAUCCCAAAUAGAUUUUAUCUUUGUUGGAUCUAACUCAAUACCUCUCCGACUGACUAUAAAGCCAAAAAGUUUGUCCGAUGGAACUCCAAACGCGCAUAUGGCUGGGUUUAGCUUCCAAUCAUAUUUGCGCAACCGCUCAAAGAAUUUCCUCAAAUCUAAAACAUGGUCAUCCUGGGUUUUGGACUUGAUGAUUACGUCAUUCAUAUGCACCUCUAUUUCUCGGUGCAUCAUAUCAUGGAAAAUACGGUCAUGGCCCUCAUGUAAGUUGCCCUAGAAUUCUUCAGACCAAAUGUCAUGACCAUGUAAUAGUAUGUACCCUAAGGUAUGGUAAAAGCUGUCUUUUCUACAUCUUCUUCAUCCAUCAACACCUGAUAAUAUCCUACGCAACAAUCCACAAAGGACUGUAUCUUAUGCUUGGCGCAGUUAUCAACAAGGAUGUGGAUGUUUGGCAAAAGGAAGAUAUUUUUGGGACUUCUCUUGUUUAAAUCUCUGUAAUCCACACACACCCGAGUCUUCCCAUAUUUCUUUGAUACUGGAACUACAUUGGCUAGCCAUGUGGUGUACCGGAACACCCAGAUCACCACUUGCUUUUAACUAUUCCGUGACUUCUUCUUUGAUCCUGUCACUAACAUUAAUUUUAAAUUUUCCUUGCUUUUGCUGGAUCGGGGGGGGGGGGUAAUCGGUGUAAGUUGNNNNNNNNNNNNNNNNNNNNNNNNNNNNNNNNNNNNNNNNNNNNNNNNNNNNNNNNNNNNNNNNNNNNNNNNNNNNNNNNNNNNNNNNNNNNNNNNNNNNNNNNNNNNNNNNNNNNNNNNNNNNNNNNNNNNNNNNNNNNNNNNNNNNNNNNNNNNNNNNNNNNGGGGGGGGGGGGGGUAAUCGGUGUAAGUUGGUAACUUAUGAACCACCAAAUUGACACUUAGUCCCUGCAUGUCAUCAUAUGACCAAGCAAACACAUCUUUGAACUCAAACAAGAGUUUGAUUAGUGCAUCCCAAGUUUUUUCAUCUGUGUGGAUGCUUAUCUUGGUUUCCCUAAUUUCUUCAGAACUACCAUAUUAACUAGCUCAGUGUCACGUAAGUUCGGCUUAUGUUUAUUCUCAAAUUGUUCUAGUUUUCAAUUUAUUUCCCUAAAUGCCUCUUCUUCAUCAUAUUCCGGCUCUAGGAUCAUUAUUUCAUAGUUAGACAACAUGUUUGGAUCCAUGCAUGAAGUCCUCAAGCAUGUCAUGUUAUUUAAAGCCGCAUUAUUAGAACUAAAAGAAGAAAUUAAAUAACAAAAAUCAGAAGGAAUAAAGAAAGAUGCACGAUGAAAUUUUGAUUUCAUUUCAUUGAAUUUGGAAGAUUAGAAGGUUUACAUUGGAACUUAAAAGACAUGAAACUAAAGAAAAACAUCCUAGUUACACCCUGGAAUAACUCGUGAUGUAGAAAAGGUGGUAGGACAUGUCUACUGGGACUCCUGCCUGAUUGGGAAUGGCGUAGCCUUCCAGUUUUGCAGUUUGACCUCAGAUCCCAUUUCCAACACCUCACGGUGCUUGAGCCUUCCCCUAGCUGGACUAUGUGGAUUUCAUAUAAUAUAUUCCUCAUUGCCUUACAGAUCUCUUCAAUCUCUUUGGCCAUAAAGGCCUCAUCUCUUCUUCUUCAUUGUAUUUGGGCUUGAAAAAUAUUUUGUACAGAUGCGGCACUGGCUGCGGCAAGACCCAUCCAUUAUUCUCUCUACUAUUCGCCCAUUUUAUAACAGUUGGCGUUGGUCAAAUGCCUACCCCAAAGAAAUUUUCACUGGAAGGCAGAGUGAUAGGUUCAGCUAUUCCUUGUAAUGAUUUCCCAAGCCCUUUUCCCAGGUUUAAAGCAUGCCUGAUCAUUUCCUUGGCGGCCAUGAUUGAUGAAUUUGAAAGGAAGGGUUGAGGGUAAGGUUUUCCUUCUUCACACUGAUCUGCGACCAUAAUUUUAAAGGCUUAAUAGACUAUGUGCUCACUACCCUCUCUUGCUUCAAGACAUAUGACUCAUGUGUUCCGAUAAAUUGAUUGCUCAUCUUGCACGUGGACCACAAUCUCUUGAUCCUCGUGCUCAAAUUUCACCAUCUGGUGAAGAGUAGAGGGUACAACCCCCGCUGCAUAAAUCUACGGCCUCCCUAGAAGAAAGUUGUAAGAGGUGUCCAUGUCCAAAACCUGGAAGCUUAAUUUGAAGUCUAUUGGGCCGAUGGUUAGGAUCAGAUUAUUCUCUUCAAUUGUGUUCCUUUUAUGCCAACAAAUGCACAUACACAGACUUGUUGGUUCGGAUUCUCGCGGUAUUGAUUUCCAUACGUUGCAGAGUUGAGAGUGGGUAAAUAACUACUCCUGACCUCGUCCAACAUAACCCUUUUCACAUAGUACACUUCAUAUUUGAUUGUCAGGUGCAGGGCUUUGUUAUGUGCGGCCCCUUCUGGGGGCAAAGCAUUUUUGCCGAAGAAGAUUUGAUUGAUUGCAAAAAAAAUUUCUGCCAUUCUGUCCAACUGCUCUACGGUGAACUCAACAGGAACAUAUGCUUCGUUAAGGGUCUUGAUCAAUACCUUCUGAUUUCGGUGGAGUUCAUCAACAGAGAUAACGGGGAGACUUAAGUGGGAGACUUUCUAAGCUGUUCGAUCACCUCAUAAUCCGCCAUUUUCAUCUUUUGAAAGAAAGCCUCUGUUUCUUCGGCACCCACCGCCUUCUUAGAGGGGAAGCGAUUUCUAGUGGCAUUGUUUACCUCUUCUAAAUUGAAAUGGUUAUUAGCAGGGUUAUUUUCUUGAACUUCUCCCAAGACUUCUUUGCCUUUGUAAGUCCUGUAAUUCCACGGCACAGCGGUAGGAUUUAUUAUGGGCUUUAUUGGCACACGACUAAUAACCACGGGCUCACUCCGCCUUGGUGUAUUAAUUUGCCCUUGCAUUACAUAAGUUCUCAUGGGCAUAUAAAUUUGGAUUCUCUUGUUCAGCUCAAAUAUCCUGGGAGGACUCAAUGUCAUCUGCUUUUCUUUGCGGCCUCGAGGGACAUAGGGAACGACAUCUUUUGGGGGCGUUGCCCCAGUUUCAACUUCCAUUUUAUUCUACGACUUUGGAGGGAUGGUUUGUUCUUUUUCUUCCCAUUGUCUUGCUCCGGGGCAACUUUUCGUUUCUUUUCUGCAUCAACAAUGGCAAUGAUGGCCUUCAACGCUGGGUCAAACUCCUUAUCCUCACAAAUAAUUCCAAUUAACUGCCCAUUAUUAUGGGCAUGAAAUGGGUUGUUGGUUAUAUUGGGAAUAUCUUCAACCCUUAGCACUAUCUUUCUUUGUUCUAUCAAGUUCUCCACGACUCUCUUCAAAGUCCAGAAAUCAUCCGCGUCAUGCCCUUCUGCCUCUGAGUGAUAGGAACAUCGGGCACCAGCUCUUUAAACGGGUGAUGUUGGGUUUUUCCUGGUUUGGGGAACAGGCUCUAGCAGAUCUAUUUGAACAUGUUUGCUAAUAGGGUGGAGUAGGAUUCAUCGAUUCGUGUGAAAUUUUGCCUCUUAGGUGGUUCACGAGCGUGGAAAUUGUUUUUUGGACGCCAGGGGUUGUACUGAGUUUGGUAAGAAGGCUAGUUUCUAGAAAAUAGAGCUGGGUUUCUGUGGGCUUGUUGUUGUUGAUGGACAUAUGGUUGAGCAUCAUGACCGUGUAUGGCUGAAGAGCAUAAGUUAGGUCUUGGUGGGAAUAAUAGUGGUGUGGGGUUUUUUCGAGAAAAGGGUUCUAGGAGUACGUUGUUUUCUUGCACCCGACACUGCUAUGGAUGUUUCUUCCUUUUUUUUCCUUUUGCUACUCCUCCAGACCCACCAUGGAUGGCUUGGGAGGUAGCUCUUAUAGAGGAUUGGUCUUAAAAUUCGAUCUGCCUUCAACACAUUUUCAACCAUUUCACCAAUCUUGAUGGCUUCAGCGAAUGGUUUACCCAUUUUGGACAUCAUAUUUUGGAAGUAGUCAGCUUCUUGGGCUUGGAGGAAAACAGUGACCAUUUCAAUCUCAUCCAUCGAAGGCUUUACACUGGAGGCCUGCUAGCGCCAUUUAACUGUGUACUCUCGGAAGCUUUUCGAGGAUUUCUUUUUCAAGUUUGUCAAUGAGUUCCUAUCUUGAGCAAUAUCAAUGUUGUACUGAAAUUGCCUGACGAAAUCUUGAUCAAGAUCAUCUAAGAUGUGCCAGCAGGAUAUAUCUUGGUCCAUCUACCAUUCAGAUGCGAUGCCAACAAAACUUUCUUCGAAUUAGGCCAUGAGUAGAUCUUCUUUUCCACCAGCUUCUCCCAGCUGGUUGCAAUGUAUUUUGAGAUAGGCAAUAGGAUCACUUCUCAAAAUUUGGGGUUUUAAAUCCCAGUGGUAGAUGCACAUAAGGGAAAAUACAUAAGUCGAAAUAGGAUACACGUUCUUUCCACUUAAGGCUUAUAUGCUUUUGAGACUUUGUUCCAUACUCCCCAUCUUUCUCGCAAUCUCUUCUUUAUCAGGAGUUUUGGUGGUCUUUUCUUGCCCCACAGUGAACUCAUACCGGGGUGGUUGAGAGUAAGUAUAAGUGGGAAAUUGAGGAGGAUCCAUUGAGAAGAAGGGUGUUUGGAAGGUAAAAGAUGAUGGGUCAAAAAUGGGCCUAGGCAAUAUAGGCUGUGUCGUGGCCCAGCAAUGUAGAGCAGUAAAGAUAUUUUAAGCUGCACCGGACAUUACACCUGGGGGCGAACCUCAAAAGGUGUUCCUACAAAAUGAGUUGAGAUAGUGAGGUGUCCUAGUGGUGUAUUUCGGUGACUGAUUGGGACAGUAGAGGUACCGUUUUCUCUAGGAAAGAGUUCAGAGAAUCCAGGGAUUGCGCUUAGGGGCUAUCUUCUAUUUUCCCAAGCGUCCCACAUUUCCAUAACCCGGAGACGCAGGAUUCUGUAUUCUUCGGCAACUUCAAGUUCUGAGGUCGGGAUGCCUAAUAUUGGACUAUCAUCUAUGAUGGGAAUUGUUGGUAGAGUCAUUUCUGAAAACAUUUUGAUGACCUCAUUCGAUAUCGUAAAGUAUGGUUGCGAAGCCAGAUUACCAUAAAAACUAACCAUCGUUCCAUAAAAACCUGAGUUGGGAGUAACAGGAUCAAACAAUUAGUUUGAAACAAAUAACACAUAGGUAAUCACACGUUAGGGGCGUGAUGGGUGCGUGAUGCACCUAUACAGUUAAAUCUCUUCUACAUGUUUUGCAACGGUUGUAUGCGUUAUCCCGGCUUUACUUAUUCUUCCCCAUUUUCUUCUUUCCACUUCGACUCUUUCCUUUUCAUCUCUCUUUUCUUUUCUUCUCUUGCUUUUCUUCUCGCAUUUUUGUUUGAUUUUUCUUCCCUCAUUUUCUUUUUCUUAUUGGAAUUAUUCACAAAAUUAUCACUGGAUCCGAUGAAGAUUGCCUAUGUAUCACGAUGGCGCGUGAACCAUAUCAUCAUGGUUUCAAGAAAAAUAAAUACAAAAAGGUAAAGAAAUUUUUGGGGAUUUUUUAUUUUUCAUUAAUAAAACUUCUAGACUUCUAUUACAAAAGAGUUUAAACUAAUUACUUUCUCGGAAUUAAAAACUACAAACAGACUCAAAAUAAACCUAGAUACAAACUCGAGAAAUGAAAAAUCAGGAAUACAUUAAGGCUUAAUCUCCUAGGGCCCGCUAGGCAUCACUCGGCCUCGCCACGGGCCUAUGUGCGAGAUCCUCUUGUAGCUGCUCAAAAUCACUCAUUAUCUGGCCAGACGAAUGUCAUCACUGCAACGAAGAUGGUGGUUUGGGUCAUAUCCUUACAUUCUUGGCAUUUUGUGAUGAUGUAGUCAGCAAUAGCUCUAAUCCAAUCUUGGAUCCUACCCUUUUCCUGAAGUAGCCUCACGAUUUGCUGAUUUUUGGCUCCUAACACCUGGAUGUCGUAAUGGUUUUGGUUUUGCAGCUGUUGAAUUUCCUCCUCCAUCCGAGCCAUUGGAGAGUCAUAAUGUUCCUUAUCAGCUUAAUAGUCGUUAGCUUGCUUAGCCUCCUCAUUCUCAAGGGUAGUUAAGUUUUUUCUCAGGUUGGUGAUCGUCCAUUCAUAUUUUCUUUUCAUGUGUUGCACAAACCAUGUCCUACCUUACGUAUUCUUUGCCAAUUGGCUCGGACUUCUACUAGAUUGGCUUCAAAUUUUUCUAAAUCAUCUUGACUCUUGAGUGUUUUCUUCCUCAGACUGCUUAUAAGCCUUAGGUCUGCUCGGCUUCUUUUUGGGUUUCUAGCUGCUAUUCUCAUUUUCUGAAUUUGAGCCUUGAGGGCUUCGUUUUCCUGAGUUAGUUUUUUCUUUUCCCCUUCAUCUGUGGUGGCUUGGAUACUUUUGGAAAAUUUAAUGUCCUUGAUUUGUCCUUCCAACAUACCUAUUUUGGCCCUGUAGCUUUCUUCUUUCGCCAACCAGCCCUAUUGCUCUUGCAAGUCGUCAGUGAAUUGUUGAACAUGGACUCUCUUAGCAGGUCUUUCAGGAAUCUAAAAUCUUUUACCAAACCAAACAAUGUACUUAGGGUCCACUUCAAAUCUAGCUAGAUCUCGCACCACAGUCUUAGGUUCAAGAAAUCUACAUUCAUUCCACACCCUGCGAAUUCUUCCUUCAGGAAAUAUGGCUUUUGGGCUCAAUUCAGUGACAUGUUUACUCAAAUCUUCGUCAUAGGGGACGGUUUGGAAUCUUCCUAAUUGGCGAAAAACCCUGUGAGGAGCAUAUGUCUAGAUGCUCUGGAUGCCCAUCAGGAGGAGAUAACACACUUUUGUUGACAUGUAUAUUGCUUCGGUGAUAGGAAGCCAUCGGAAUGUCGACUCAAUUUUAUCGACAGUCAAAGAACUCAAGCAUGAAACCCAAGCUUCAGUACUCUCGGGGAAUUCACUACCCACUAUCUGACUUUCAAAUUCGUCAAUGCAAAUCAUAAUUGGUCAUACCAUAAUUCAUAUAUGUGGUAAAGAUGCUUAUGGAUCCACAAUUAUAAUAGCAUAUUGCAACCUUGGAAGAACUUUCCCCCUUCUCGAUAGAUAGUCAAGGCUUGGUAGAUUUUAGAUAGGAUAAGUGGGACCAUAGUGCUAUUGGCUUUCUUGAUUGCAACAUCGACCAUUCCUACGAGACCCACUUCUCUAGUACCAUCUUCUCGCGGACAAACUACAAUUACCAAGAAUGCUACUGCAAAGGCAAAACCUCGCUUUGCCUCCUAGUUGUCUUUAUUCCCGGCAUGGGUCAAACUAGUAUUUGGUGCUUCAAAACCAUGAGGAUUACCAUAAUGUUGAUACAAGAACUGGAAAGUGCAGUACCCCUCAGAUAAGUUUCCAUCUUGAAUAUCCCGACUAAUACUUAGCAAAUCCAAAGUUCUGAGGGGAGAUACCGGUCUUGGCGACACUGGAUAUCGACUUCUAAGGUUUCCAUUAAGCCCCCUUCUGUCCCGUUCCUUCAAUCAAAGAAGAAUCCAUGCCCCGGGCUAGUGCCAGCGCAUAGUUAGAGUCUUCCCUGCGUGCCUAACAUCCACUCCUUCUAGUCGAGUGCCUUGCGGCGCCUUUAGCGAUGAGAGAAGGCGAUACCGAGCAUAAUCCACAAUUCCCUCUAGGGUGGGUGCGAGAUCCAAGUCAGAAAAGCGGAACACAUUACGAGUUGGAUCCUAAAAAGGUAGUAAAGCUUAAAUUACGUCCAACUUUGGCUUGAUGUUCAAUAGUACAGUGAGACCUCCCAAAACCUUUACCACAGUUUCUCUACUGCCUCUUCCUAGAUAAUUCCACCACAUUUGGAGCUGUAAGAGGAUCCCUUCAAGGGCUAUGAAGGGUUCAAUUUCAUUUGUGCUCAUCUUGCACAUUUAAAAAGGUGAUUUAAUAGCUCAUUUUGACCCAAAAAGAGUAACACCAUUUUUCAAAUUUUUUUUUCAAAAUAAAACCUAGUUUUCGAAUACGGCCUUUCAGCACUUAGGGAAAGAAGAUCUUAAGGUUGUUCCUGCUAAUGAGCUAAUAAUUAAAAGAAAAUUAUCAAAGGUGAAUGUUCUUUCAACAACAGCCUUCCGGCGCCCUUUUGGCGACAUUCAGCUUAUUUUAAACAAGAAUGGCAUCACUUUGCUUAUUUGUGAUAAAAUAAAAUUUUUGUUGUUUUUUGGGCUAUUUUUGUGAGAGGGAAGUUUGACCCGACAGGGGUUGCCUACGUAUCCCACAUCUGGUGGGAAUCAAACUAGUGUAGUUCAGGCAAAAUUUUUAACAAAAAAAAACUAUUUUUGAAAACUUUUCUUUUUUUCUUUUUUACUUUUUAAAAAAAUCCGGCAGAGUUUCAGUACCUUUUGGACAUUGGUUUUAUUUUCAAAAUGGAUAAUUAUCUCUCUUUCCCCUGACACUGUUAUUUUCUUUUCCAGAAAGUAUUCACAAGCUGAUCGAUAUGCAAAUCAGAAGAAGAUAAAUACACAAGUAGCAAGUAGGAUGCUUCAAGGUGGUAUUUUCAUUUCAGGUUCACCUGUCCUAGACAGACCCAACCCCUUUGUUGAGUCUCCUAAGUCAAAUGCACGUGAUGCAAACAAACGUUCCUACUAGGAUCCGACAUGAGGUUUUGUUAUACUGGGUUUAGACCUGGGUUUAUUGUUCUAGACCUGGCUUACCUGAGUAAUCAUCUCGAGUCGAGGGCGGGCAGCAUACCGAGAAUAUAUAUGUUUCGCCGACUUUGCAACUUGUUCGAACCUCGUUCUAGAAUUUGGGAUAAGACUCUAACAAAAAAUAAGUUACACGAAGUGCACACUUCGAAGAUGAUUUAGUAGACUUGGAGAGAAGAAGGGUUUCAUAGCAGUUUAUAUACAGUUCAUACAAUAUCAAAGUGGUAAAAGCAUUUAGCACAUUAGGCUCAAACAUGUAAGAAAAUAAGAUAAUAUAUAAAGCCAAUCAUAACAUGUAUUCUAAGCUCGAAUUAUUAAACCCUAAACUAGAUAUUCUGGGUUUGGAUUACCCGGCAGAGUCGCCAGUGCUAUCGCACCUCCUUUUUUAACUACACCAUCCCGAAGGAUAGUACAUAAAGGAGUUUUCUAAUUUAAGUGAAAUUAUUCGAAAUGGAAUUAUUUGUUUUUUGUUAAGAGUUUCCACUUUAUCUAGGUUCGUUUCUGGUGUACUAAGUCACCGGUUUAUUUUAAAUCCCAAAUCGAGAAAAUUCGACUUUCCUUGUGAAUUCUGCGAACCAGAAAUUCUGAAUAAGGAAUUCUGUUCCCGAGGGAAGGUGUUAGGCACCCCCGGAUUUCGUGGUUCUAGCAUGGUCGCUUAAACUAUCAUAAUUGGCUUAUUAUCUGAUUUUAAUACAUGUUUUAUCCUAUGGUAUUAUUUUAAACUUAUAAAACCACUUUUAAUUAUUUUUAGGAAGAUUUCAACGUUAUUUAAAACACAUCUUUGGACCAUGCUAUAUUAAAUGCACCAACAGUCCGCGACAUAUUUUAUUUAAUGUUGUGAGAUUUGGAGUUGGGUCAUAUGAAAUGCACACCCGAAUUUAGGAAGGUAUUAUUAUUAAAAUAACGUGCCUAUAGCAACUACACAUUUUUAACUUUACGAGGGCUAGAAAAAAUUUACUAAAUGGCACACCUCGAGCUCUAAGGAUCUUGAAAGAAAUAAUUAAAUGAGGGCCACACAUUUGAGAUUUUAUUUAGCGCAACGCACCUCCAUUAUUCCAACCAAGGAUUUCCAAGCUAACUCUUGAGGGCCAUAAACUAUUUGAUCUCAUUUUCUUAUGGACCACCUCGAUUAAUUUAGAGGACUUUCUAAUCAAUUAAAUUACACGAGGAAUUUCCAACCAUUAAUAAGAAAGUUUAAACUAAAAAAUAGGUUAUGGAUACAGUGUUCCCCCAUGAGCAUUUUGUCAAUAAUCAAGAGACCAUGAAUGGGCUCCAACGUGAAGCCCAGAACUGGAAACACCUAGUAAAGAGAACUCGGCACAAUAGGGACGAUAUUAUAGCACAAUUCAUUGUCUUAAAUACCAAUCGACACAGGAAAUCCAAUUCCAAUGAGAAAUUUAGAGUUUGGACAAAACAACUACUAACAACAAGCUAUUUCAUCAUUUAUAAUCAUCCAUUUGAGUUUCCAGCACAAAAGAAUCCUUUGGAGUUUUAAACAAACUUUAUUUGAUUGUCAAAUUCUGAUUUUUAGAAUACAUCUUUAAACAACCCUAGGAUUCCAACUUGGUAAAGAGAUAUGCAAAGAACUACACUAAACCAAAAUCAGACCUGAUUCUCAUUUGAAAUUACCUUGUUGAGAAAGAGGCAUCAUAUGAACAAGAGGAAAAAUUGAACAACCAAACUCCUUAAAUUACUUAACUAUGCUUCAAACCAUAAGAAAGCAGAUUUUAAAGACCAAAUUAGAAAGCAAAAUAUGGAUCAAUUGUGUUAGACCCAAAAAUAUGAAUUAAUACAUUUUUUGAACCAUGGCCAUCAAAGGCACAUCCAUAAUUAAACAGUUUCAACCAAUCAACUAAGGAACACAAACCUCAAUCAGUACAAAUUAAGAAGUCUGAAACAGUCUUAGAUUACUAUAUUUAAACCAGCUGAAACCCAGACCUUAAAAUGAAAUGAAAUAUUAAUAACAUGAUUGACUAUACAUGGUGAGCUAAAUUGAAGAACAAAUACAGGAAUUGUGAUGAAAUCUAGCAGUAUUUCGAUAAAGAAAAAAAAAUACAACAAUUAUCAUUUCUCUUCAAACUGGAUCACAUGACUUUCAUCUAUGCAUUUCACAUGCUGAUUCAGAGGUCAGUACAUACCUGGAAAGAAAAAUAAUAGAAGUGAGAACAACAACAGUAAGCAACAACAAAGAGCCCAGAUUCAACCAAAAAAGGAUAUGAAGCAGUCCAAAACAAACUCCCAAUCGAACAAUAACCCAAGGAUAACUUCAUAACCAGGAUUCAAAACCAAACUCAACCUAUUUUUAACUCCAGGUGAAUCCAAUAAUUGUUUCAGAAUUGGAAAACUUCAGAAAUCACCAAAGAAAAUUCAAUAGAACAGUAUCUCUAUGAAAUUUUUAGCUGUUUGAAUUUUUUCUAAAUUCUCUUUUUCAGUCUCAAAAAUCUCUAAAAUCUGAAUUGAGCUUCCCUUAGCAAUACCUUUAUAGGAAAGCUAUUGAGGCAGCAGAAAUAGUUCAGUUUUUUCCCUUUAGACCUUUCAUAAUUUUUAUUUUUGCUACUUGGUCCUUAAAUUACUGAUUUGUUUGCCAAGUAAGCAUAUCAGCUUCUAAGAAGCUCCCUAAUGUUGUUAUUGAAAGAUUAUCUAAGUUAACUACUCAAAUUACCCUUUUACCUUCUAAAAAGGACUUCAGGAACCAAAACCAAAAUGAGUCAAAAUUUACCCAAGGUCCAAAACUCAAAUGAGCAGGCCAAAAUUAAUUUUAUGGCCCACAUAUUACUCAAAGACCCAUUUAGCUAAAAGAAACAGAGGAGGAAACAGAUGAAUCAACUCCCAAGCCCAAAAUCUGACGAACAAAUGAUUCUUCUCUUAAGUGGAAAUACUAAAUUGAGAUAAAACUGGAUUACCCAUUUUAACCAAAAACUAGCUUAAAUUAACCAUCAGAAUAUUGACACAACCUAAAAAUAAAAUCAGAUAGCAACAAUUACGAAUUUGAAAAAGAAACUAAGAGAAUGAAAAAGGAAGUAAAUACACAAACACACAAAUAACAAAAAAACUGAACAAAAUUAAAAGAAAGACCAGUUCAUGAUUAGCCUGAAUAAAAGAACAGAUGCAACGACAAUUUUGAUGAAACAAAUGAAGAGAUGACAGUUAUAUCAAUAAAAAAAUGAAAUCAAAGUGAUAAAAGAAAAUCAUGCACAACCAAAAAAAUGAAAAAAAUACCUAAUAGGAAGGCCAUCCUUGAAGUUCUUCUUUGAAUUCAAGAUUAUGACCAAAAGGGGCCUCGAUCAUGUCUUCUCAUAUGAAAACACAUAAGCAAAGUCCGUUUUGGUCCUAAUCGGCCAGACUAUGGAUGUUGACACUUUAAACCCUCGACUUCAAAUUGAUAUUCGACAAAUUCUACGGAUAUUCGAUGGCAGUGAAUGAUGGAUUUGGGAUAAGGGAGGCCUGGUGGUCCUUUGGUGUUUAUUUGGGUUUGUUUUGUGGUGGCGCUACCACCAGAAACGAUUAGGGUUUUAAGGCGGCUGGCUAGGGUUUGGAGUUUCUGAUAUAAAAUUCGAGGAAUUGUAUCCGGAUUUGAGGUAUAAGGAGUGGUGAUAUGGAGAGAGGGGGUCGAAGGGAGUCUGUGGUGUAAAAAUAGGCAUUAUUGGCCGCCGACUGUCGCCGUGGGCGAUUUAUGGCGGGCGGUGGACGGCGAUCUAUGGCGGACUUUUCUAGGUCAAUUUAGCCAAAUUGGGGUCGUUUUGUUAUAGGGGCUGCUGGACCGGAUUUUGACUGGUUGGACAGGGUUUUGGAG